GACGGUUACAGCAGUUUGAAAAGUGGUGUUAUAAACUCCGCCAGCAGGUGGACAGAUUGCUGGCAGCAGAUUGAUUGGCAGAAUCAAUGGGGGCCACUAGAGGUUACCUGAUGGUGCCAUGGAAAAGCAGCAUGGUUUCUGUCCAGCCCCUUUGAUGCCCGACGUGAAUCGCCUGACCUCCGCCUGUACCCCGACUACGAGACCUGCCCAGCCCCCAAGACCAACUCCGUACAUCGCCCGACCCCAGCCUGUCCCACGACUACGAUCCAGUCUGCUCCUUUUGUUUAUUUCUGAGCGAUACGUUCACCAGUAAACCUUCUGGUCUUCAGACAGUUUUCGCUUUAUUUGUAAAAGUCACUUGCACCUGAUUCCGCGACAGCGUCCUCUUUGCCCCCUACCUAAACCGUCACAACGUUUCCAUUAUAAAAAUGAAGAGGCAAGUGUAUCACGUCAGGCUAGCAAAGUACGACCCAGAGGCAGACUAGUUUACAUUUCCCCGAGCUGGG